rnacentral:lncRNA from 1 species
CAAAUCCAAGGCAGAAAAAUGACUCCAGUGAUGGAUGCCACCACAUCAGCUGUUAGCUUGCUAUGGUUUUAGUCCCUUAAUCACCAACAGCUUCAGGAUCCCACUGGAGAGAUGGGUGAUCAAGCACGAGGUGAGACAGCUGAGAAGGGGUGCAAUGCCUCUAGUUUGCAGGAACCAGAGUAGGCAUUCAUGGGCAAGAAGAAUCCACCAAGAGCAGAAAAAUCUCUCUGGCUGCUGCCAGGAGGCUGCUGUGUAGGAGACUGAGCAUGGAAGCCCCAGCCCAGCCCUGCCCAGUUAGGAAGCAACUAUUGUAUUCAGCAAACCCUGCUGGCUCUAACGAGAAGUAUCAUCCCGAGUGCAUCACCAUCACUUCUCACCUCCAUGGCCUCUCAUUAUGCACUCUCUGCCUCUACUCUUGCCUUCCUGGAGCCGUUCUCCAGCCGUUAGCCAAAUGGGUCUUUUCAAAGGUUCCCUGUGCUCCAGCCCCUCAUCACCUGGGAUGGGGUUGUCUGCACCGCUGUCCUUGUGCCUGAUGUCCCCACACGCUCGCUCCUCCUCCACCUUCCGGUAGUCCCAGCUUGAAAGUUCUGACCUCAUCCCCUUCCCCAACACACCCCUACUCCCUGUCACAUCACUCGAAUCUGCUGCCUACAAUUGGUGGGAGUGAAACCACUUAGUUUGCCAACUUUGAAGGAAUCCUGUGAAAUGCUCAGGUAACUGGCACCAAUUUCCCAUUUGUUCCCUUGACAUUUCAGUGCUGCUUAUGGAUUAGUGCUUUGGGCAGCUGCACAGAUAACCCACCUUUUGAUCUGGGUCCGCUUGGCACAAGAUACAAUAAAUGUCAUGAUAAAUGUCAGCCAGGAUUACAAUGCUUCCUUCACAAACCUUAGCACAGACGGUUUCAAUAAAGAUUGCUUGAUUAACUUUUUUCUUCUAAUUCAAUGCCAUUUUAAUCAUGUGCCUACUUUUUGCUUAAAAGGCCUGUGAAUUUCAUUCUGACAAAUAAAAUUAUUUUCCAAAAA